UAUAUGCAAAGAAAUUGUGAAUAACUUGAUCACUUCUCCUUACCAUUUACAAAAUUAAAAUAUCUCCCUACUUCUGAUAAUCUGAAAGGGUCAGAAUAGUCAUGAAGGGAAAUAAAAUGCUAGAAUUACAGAAUAACUCGAAAAGACAAAUACACAGUCCUAUCAAGAACACCGUAUGUUCAUCGUCAUCCUCUACCUCCUCUUGUGUUGUUACUGUUAAUGGUUGAUUCACAACAGAAUAUUGGCAGUUGUAAGACAAAUUCAGCAUGAUAAGCCUCUUAUUUCUUAUUUGGCUCGUGAAUAAUAGUAAAAUAUAUUCAACACAUUUUCUCUACACAGACCGCAGACGUAUGAAUCAUCAGAUGUUAAAUUCAUCACAACAACACCUCUGUGAUACAAUGAAGAAAAGAACAGUUGAGGUGCAUAGGCUUGCUUGUGGAACUAAUCUUAUUUAUUCCCAUAGAAGCAAAGAACUUCCGCACCUAAUUUACAUGGAAUUCAAUUUCCAAGAUUAGAAAUUUCACAUUUUAGAAAAGUUGAGAAAAAGUACAUAAGACGUGUAAUUGUUUUCAAGUUUGAUUUUCGCUGAUUGAAAAUUCUAAAUAGUUAUCCCAAACAACCAAAUUGGGAGUCACUCCAGGGAGCAAAUAGUUGCAAUGUUAUAAGUAUAAAGAAUCUUCAUUUAAGCACGUGAAGUUCUUUGAUUAAUUUAGAUGAAAUAACAUAAAUUAUCUGCAAUUUUGUAACCACAAAUUUAACGUGAAACAUACACUGAGAGAAGUAUUUCAUUAUUUCAGUAAUAUCUUUUCUCAGGACUACAAAGCUAAUUGUAUUCUUAUGAAGAAUCACGUAUAUAAAACUUACAAAUACUGUUUUACAUGAAAGAAAAUAUCCUAAAAUUAGAGCAUGUAGUACUGCAAUGAGAUAAUAAAAGCAAUAUAGUCUUCCCAUGUCGAUCCUCAACCAACAAAUUUGAAGACUUAUUGUGAAUAACUACUACCAAUGAUCUUUUGUUUUGCAUCAGCAGAAGUGAAUUGGUCACCGGAUUGAUUUUGCACAGCUAUGGACCUAUAUAAUGAAUGAAAGCUAAUUCUUUGGGGAUUCAGAUCUACAAAGAGCUUAAUUAAAGCAAUAAAAAAAGUUUAACAUGUUGAUCAAAUCCUGGAGUAGAAGUGUCUUACCAAUUUACAACUGCUCAGUAAACCAAUUUCACCGCUACUGAUUAUCUCAUUUUUUUUUGCUUAUUUCGUCUCUUCCAUUCCCUCGCACUGCAUAUCCUAGUUUCGAACUAAAUGAGAUUAUUUCGAAGAAGUUCCAUUGUCGAUGUGCUAUCUGCUAUGUUAAUGGAUUUCCUCUAUAAUCUAUACAACCAAAAUUAGAGAUCUCUAAAGAAGAAAUUUUUUAUAUUACUUGUAGAGUUUGAAACUAAAAUAAUGAAAAAUGAAAUUUUUGCUAACCUUUUUGGUGCUUGCAAGCACAAUCGGGACAAUUAAAAAUUUCAUUGUAAAAUACUAAGUAAUAAAUUGAGAGAUAUGCUCAAUUGUAUAGGAUUUAAAGGAGAUAGUUCUACAUCUGCAAUAUCCUGAGGGGACUUGCAAGCAGCAUCAAGACUCACGAUCAGAAUCUCUACACUCU
rnacentral:lncRNA from 1 species